GACGAACCGUGCGAACGUUGUUCGGAAUCACUGGGCUUAAAGGGUGCGUAGGCGGGCGCGUCAGUCAGGGGUGAAAUCCCACGGCCCAACCGUGGAAGUGCCUCUGAUACUGCGCGCCUGGAGGGGGAUAGGGGCGUGCGGAACUUCCGGUGGAGCGGUGAAAUGCGUAGAUAUCGGAAGGAACACCGGUGGCGAAAGCGGCGCGCUGGAUCACUACUGACGCUGAGGCACGAAAGCCAGGGGAGCAAACGGG
rnacentral:rRNA from 1 species